rnacentral:rRNA from 1 species
UAGGGAAUCUUCGGCAAUGGGGGGAACCCUGACCGAGCAACGCCGCGUGAGUGAAGAAGGUUUCCGGAUCGUAAAGCCCUGUUGUUAAGGAAGAACGAGUGUGAGAAUGGAAAGUUCAUGCUGUGACGGUACUUAACCAGAAAGGGACGGCUAACUACGUGCCAGCAGCCGCGGUAAUACGUAGGUCCCGAGCGUUGUCCGGAUUUAUUGGGCGUAAAGCGAGCGCAGGCGGUUAGAAAAGUCUGAAGUGAAAGGCAGUGGCUCAACCAUUGUAGGCUUUGGAAACUGUUUAACUUGAGUGCAGAAGGGGAGAGUGGAAUUCCAUGUGUGGCGGUGAAAUGCGUGAAUAUAUGGAGGAACACCGGUGACGAAAGCGGCUCUCUGGUCUGUAACUGACGCUGAGGCUCGAAAGCGUGGGGAGCGAACAGG